rnacentral:autocatalytically_spliced_intron from 1 species
GUAGAGACUUUAAUCUGAUUCAUUCAGAUUAGGAUAUUUUGCUUUUAGCAAAAUAUAAUACGCGAGCCCCUAAUUCCGUUGUAAGCGGAACGGGUGAAGAUAUAGUCCAUGCCUCUAGUAAUAGAGGA